AAGUAUGACGGGAAAAAAUAUGGAACAAUGUGAAAUAAAACAGUAAGGUAUUGAAAUCCACCCAGUUAUUAACUUUCGUGAUAUCGCCAACGUCAACUUCGAAGACUCCAACUGAUCGAAGGAAAUCAACCAUUACUACCGCCUGCCUUUCGUAUUCUUCGAUGUUAUCAACGAAUAGUGCUCCCGAUAUAAAAACAUUAUUCCUAUCAACAUUGCACAGGUUUUCACGCACGCUGGCGACAUUCAUUGCUUUCAGGUUCAAACACUUUUUGAGCAUCCCCGGUUUAUACUUAUCUGAUUCAUCUGCUUCGAUGGUCAAUAACAUCGCAUUGUGAUGAAUUUCGUUUUUAUUCAUUGGAUCCGUCAGAGCCAAUUGACAAAUUUUUUUUUUUGUUAAGGAAUUAGAAUUACGUUGUCCAUUGAUGUGAACUUUUGUAAUAAAUUGACAAAAAUUUGUGUCAGUAGUGAACACCAAGUCAAGAAAACAAUUAUUUUAGUUUGGCAAAUUGCAAACUUGCAACAGUCCAACAGAGAGAAAACUGUCAACAACAGCUAUCUCGGUUUGCGAGUUGAUUCGGUUUGGUUCAAAUCACCGAGUACGACGACGUCAUCAUUUGGGCCAAUACAUUCAAUUACUGAUUCGACGAACGAGCAGAAAGAGCGAUAACGAUCAACACUAGAGCCACUGCGUGUUCUGUGCUGGCAACGUGAUUGUGGACAGCAAUCAAGACCCCCGGAUUUUUUUUCACUAUUAGAAAUAUUUCUAUCGCAGCGAUAUACGUUCAAGUGCGGAGGAAAAAGCGACCUAUCUGUUACAGUUGAGUCCAAGUUUUGGAGCAUUUAACAAAACUGUAGAAGUCAAUGAGCGCGAAUUCAAAACUGGGUCAGAUGGAUGGUUAUUACUGUGUGCUGGUAAGUGGUGUAAGGAAAUUGUCAGGAUUGGACUCGACAUCUCUACAUUCGGCUCGAAAUGGCAUCGACACAGGUUCAUUCACAAAUUCACGAAAAUAAAUACCUUUUUGCCAGCUCGA